rnacentral:rRNA from 1 species
AUUGAACGCUGGCGGCAGGCUUAACACAUGCAAGUCGAACGAGUGGCGGACGGGUGAGUAAUGCUUGGGAAUCUAGCUUAUGGAGGGGGAUAACUACGGGAAACUGUAGCUAAUACCGCGUACCCUAGGAUGAGCCCAAGUGGGAUUAGGGAGUUGGUGAGGUAAAGGCUCACCAAGGCGACGAUCUCUAGCUGGUCUGAGAGGAUGAACAUCCACAUGGGGACUGAGAUACGGCCCAGACUGCGACGAGAGGCGGAAGUGGGGGAUAUUGCCCAAUGGGCGAAAGCCUGAUGCAGCGUGGGCGCGGAGGGGAUGAGGGCUUUCGGGUUGUAAACCUCUUUCGCUAUCGAACGGGUAGGUGGAGAAGAAGCGCCGGCUAACUACGUGCCAGCAGCCGCGGUAAUAC